AAAGAGCGUAAGUGUGACACUUUGACACAGGUGUAAUAGAGAGUUUUCUUGCUGAUACUCUCAAACUCUCCAAAAGCAGGUGUCCUGAAAGACAGGAGAGCCCCCUACUCCUCCUGCCACGCCCCCACUGCAGGCAAGCCAGUCAGAGAGGGAAGAUGUACUCACAUUCAUCAUCCCACUGGUCAGACAGAGUACGGUUCUCAGCAAACACUCUGUGGGGCUCUGGCAGGGAAGCACAAACCUCCUCCACCACCCUGAGCAGCAUCCUGGAGGACUAAACUCCCGCUGACUCCGCCAACCUCACAACAGAUGUGCGCAGUAGAUGGCCCAGUUUGGUGCACCCCGCCUCCGCAGAGUGGCAGAUGACAACCCGGGUGAGCUAACAAAGUCAUUGAGGAAAAGAUGCUCUUCAGACAGCCACUUCCCAGGUGUGCCUACAUUGUCCCUGUGCACAGCGAGGACCUGCCAUGCCUGGAGAACUGACCGGUAAAAAGCAGAGGACACGUGCCAUAUCCUGCCAGCUCAGUCCAGAGGUGUACAAUGGUCACUGAGCAGCCUGCAACCUGAAGGUCAACACCCGAGCAGAAAUGUCCACCAGCCCCUGUCCUCCUUCAUGAAGAGGCAUAUACAGCACGGGGGCCCUGAUCCAUUGAUGGCCUGACCAG